UAAGAUAAGUCUUUGGAAAUUCUUUUUUUAAUAUCAAAAUUUUGAUAUUAAAAAAUUUUCUAGGGCAGAAUUUUAUAUAAUUAUUAUAUCUAUUAAUAAUUUUAAGAAUUACUCCGGAGUUAACAGAAAAUCAUAUCUAAUCUAGUUCUUAUAGUAAGAUAAGUUUUACAUCGAUGUUGUAUUUAAGUUUAUUAAAAAAGGAGAAGAUUUAAUUUUUAAGACUGUUCUUCUUUUAAUUAAUUUAACGUGAUAUUAGUUUAAUUCA
rnacentral:rRNA from 1 species